GUUGAAUAACGGCCACCGUGCCGAUAAUCGUACGGGUUGUGAGAGGCAAGAGCCGGAGACGACUGAGACAGAUCCGGGCCCUACGGGGCGCAGCAGGCGCGAAAACUUUACACUGCACGACAGUGCGAUAAGGGGACUCCGAGUGCGAGGGCAUAUAGUCCUCGCUUUUGUACACCGUAAGGUGGUGUACGAUAAGAACUGGGCAAGACCGGUGCCAGCCGCCGCGGUAAUACCGGCAGUUCGAGUGAUGGCCGCUAUUAUUGGGCCUAAAGCGUCCGUAGCCGGCCAGACAGGUCCGUCGGGAAAUCACUCGCUUAACGAGUGGGCGUCCGGCGGAAACCAGUUGGCUUGGGGCCGGAAGAUCUGAGGGGUACGUCCGGGGUAGGAGUGAAAUCCUGUAAUCCUGGACGGACCGCCGGUGGCGAAAGCGCCUCAGAAAGACGGACCCGACGGUAAGGGACGAAAGCUAGGGUCACGAACCGGAUUAGAUACCCGGGUAGUCCUAGCUGUAAACGAUGCUCGCUAGGUGUGGCGUUGGCUACGAGCCAGCGCUGUGCCGUAGGGAAGCCGAGAAGCGAGCCGCCUGGGAAGUACGUCCGCAAGGAUGAAACUUAAAGGAAUUGGCGGGGGAGCACUACAACCGGAGGAGCCUGCGGUUUAAUUGGACUCAACGCCGGACAUCUCACCAGCUCCGACUGCAAUGAUGAGAGUCAGGUUGAUGACCUUACUCGAUGUUGCAGAGAGGAGGUGCAUGGCCGCCGUCAGCUCGUACCGUGAGGCAUCCUGUUAAGUCAGGCAACGAGCGAGACCCGCAUCCCUAAUUGCCAGCAGUACCCUUGUGGUAGCUGGGUACAUUACGGAGACUGCCACUGCUAAAGUGGAGGAAGGAACGGGCAACGGUAGGUCAGCAUGCCCCGAAUGAGCUGGGCUACACGCGGGCUACAAUGGCCGAGACAACGGGUUCCAACCCCGAGAGGGGGCGGUAAUCUCUUAAACUCGGUCGUAGUUCGGAUUGAGGGCUGAAACCCGCCCUCAUGAAGCUGGAUUCGGUAGUAAUCGCGCUUCAGAAGAGCGCGGUGAAUACGUCCCUGCUCCUUGCACACACCGCCCGUCAAAGCACCCGAGUGAGGUCCGGAUGAGGC
rnacentral:rRNA from 1 species